ensembl:lncRNA novel transcript
AAGUGUCACCGCGAUGCCACGUCCAGUCUGAGCCAUUCCUCGCCCAUGUCCCUGUCCUUGUUGCAUAGCCGGCCUCCAGCGUGUGGCUUCGUGCAGCGACCAGACCGUCGUGUGACUUUCUGCCACGGUUGCUGGGGUUGGCACUGGGGCAGACCUGCUGGGGGGUUCUGGGUUGCAGCUGGAGCGCUGGGACUGGCAGGACGCCUCUCUUCGUGCUGCCCCAGGGCCCAUCCACGUCGACUCCCGGCGUGAAGCGUGUGGGCUGCCUCACAGCCUGGCAGCUCCAGGACUGCUGGGGGCUCCCCCCGCGGCCCCGGCUCUGCUGGCAGCACUGGGCCAGAAGCAACUCACCUUCACACAGCCGCCCUGAAGGCACGUAGGUUCCGGAAGGGAACCUUGGGAAAUGGGAUUCGUGCCAUACUCAUGGGAGUCCCAAGCUCCCUCGCCCAUUUCACUCCAUGAGGAUAGGAGGGGACAGCUGCUGACGACCUGGCAGAGACCCUGCGCCAGGCCCCACCCCACCGGCACCCUGAUCUUGCACUUCCGGCCUCGAGAAUGCCCCCGCCCGGGAGGGUCUGAGCCAGGCAGCCUCCCCGGGAGCCGGUGCUGACACGGCCAGAGAAACCAUUCCAGACCCGGACCCCACUGUCCCCAACACCUGCGGGCCAGUGACUCAGGGCGGUGGAGAGAGCCAAGAGGAAGUGGAGGCUGAGUGGCCCUCCCCGGGGCUGGGGCCCGCCGUCUGGUUGUGUCUCCAGCCGCUGGUUUAGGGGAAUCGGGAGGGCUCACUUAAGCAUCCCUUCCCUGCGUGCUCUUCCAUCGCGGGACAGAAGACCCGACUGCUGCCAGCACCAAAGGGUGUUCCCACGGCACACGCCGCUUGGGCUCGGGCAGGCAGGGACCCCUCCUCGUGCCUCGGGAGCCUGGAGCUGUCGGCCCUGCAGCUGAGGACCACAGGAGGUCAGGGACAUGCAAGCUCAGUGCCCGAAGUCACUUCUAGAGUGCGAUUCGGUGUCCCUGAAGGUCCCAACUCUGCCCUGACACAUUACAGAAAAUGUCGCUGCCCCCUGGUGUGGAUGCUGGCCCGCCCCCGGGGAGGCUUCUGCCCCAUCACCCAGCCCAGCCCAUCCCAUCCCAACAGGACUCAGCCUCCAGUGGCUACCAUCAGACCCCACGGCAUGGUGACUGUCACUGCAGAGGGCUAGAGAGGGCCGCGUGUGGGACGGCAGGGGCCGACGGGGGGCUCUGCAUUCCCCAGUAACCCAGGUUUCUGCUGGGGCUGCUCCCCAGCUGCUCUGCUCCCCAGCUCCCUACAACGCGGAUUUAUUCUUAUUUCCCACAGGGAAGGCCUAACAAGGCUUGACCAAUCAGUGAAGGGCAUUCCCCAGACUGCUGGCUGUGACUGGGUCCCAGAUAAGCACGUGACCCACUAUGGGCCAAUGAAAGUCGCCUGAGACUUUUGCUUGCAUGGUUGCUGGGACGGUCCAAAGUCCUCAGUGGGGACGGCUGGCUGCAGCUGUCAGACUUGGAGCGUGAGGACAGAGCUGGGCCGGUUCCUCCCUGGGAUCUCCCCUCCCCGAGCACAGGCUCUGCUCUGCCCAGCCCCAUGCUGUCCCCUGUGCGACCGCUGUGGGCUUCCUGCCAGGCUCCUGCACCCUCCGGCUUCUGUUGGGUUCAGUUCUGGGAGGCAGCCCCGGAGUCUGGAGGGUGGAAGGAGUGAGGGGCAUCCCCUGUCCCCUCCCCACAGUCUUGGCAGUGGUUUCUUCUCUCCAGAGUUACUGUCCCUACCCCCUGUCCUCUCUCUGCAGCUCCAGCUCUUGCUGGGCGCCUGUGAUUCUCACCCCUGUCCCUUCAGGCCGUGGGGAGAAGAACAUCCCAGUGCGGUCACUUCCUGGAUCCAAUUCCUGGAUGCCCAGUGUCCGCCGGGUCUCCUGGAUUCACCGUGGUCACUGCCUGGAUGCCCAGUGUCCACUGGGUCUCCUGGAUCCAAUUCCUGGAUGCCCAGUGUCCGCCAGGUCUCCUGGAUUCACUGUGGUCCCUGCCUGGAUGCCCAGUGUCCUCCAGGUCUCCUGGAUUCACUUCCUGAAUGCCCAGUGUCUGCUAGGUCUCCUGGAUCCACUUCCUGGAUGCCCAGUGUCUGCCAAAUCUCCUGAAUUCACUUCCUGGAUGCCCAGUGUCCACCAGGUCUCCUGGAUUCUGCCUGUGUCCACGUGAGGGCACCAUCAAUUUCCUGCAAGGAUCCUGACAGUCAAGGUACAUCUAACCUGAGAGCAGGCAGGGGCUGGACUAUCCCCUAGAUCAAGCCAUGCCUGAAGCCCCACCUUUCAGUUGCCUGAGUCAACAGAUUCCCUUUUUGGGUUGAGCCAUUUCUAAUUGGAUUUUAUGUCUUACUGACUGAACUAUCAGGAUGGCCAGCAGUAAGGGGUUUCGUUUUGGAGGAUGAGGGACACAAAUGUCUCUUCUCCAAGGUGAGGAGAUGCCUGAAGGACAGGAGACACUCACAGGAGGCCCUGGAGACAGAUGUGCCUCACAGGCAUUCCUGAGGACCUGUGGCCUGGCAGCACAGAGACUGGGUGAAAACAGAACCUUGUGAUCUGCAAGUUCUGCCGCUGCCCUGUCUGUGUCUGUGAAGCAAAGUGUCCAGAAGGGGCCCGCGUGGAAGCUUCUGAGAGCGGUUAGGGGAACGGGGCCCCACGUCCUCCCCGGAGGGCUGGAGACAGAGGCAGGCCGUGCCCCCAGCCCAGAGUAGGGAGGAGGCUGGCAGGCGGCAGCUGUGGAAAGGAGGCGGAGCCCCCAGACUCCUGAGCCAGCAGAGGAAGGAGUGGGACAGAGCCCACCCCAGAGGGAGACAAGACCCCGGGGAAGAGACCCCUCAGGGUGGCCCCCCAGCCCCUCCCAGGCUCAGCUUUCAGCCUGCACCCCCGUCUGGUCCCUCAGAAUGACUGAGGUUUCCACUCUUUUUCUGCCAAAUCUCUAGACUCCACGUCCCCGCUCUGCCACCUACUCUCUGUGGGAUCUGAAUAAAGAGACUUAACCUUU